CAACUUCUAGCAGGGGCUUUGUAGAGCGGAAGGUGGGGGUGGAGGAAGGAUCAGGGGGCACAGAAGUGGAAAGCUGGACAGUGGCUCUCAAGACGGAAGAGGGUGCAGAAUCGAGAGUCCCGCCAACAAGGCUUUAUGCCUCUUUUCUUCAAGCAGACUCAGAUCCGGGAGGACUGGGGGCUCUUUCUGCUGACUCAUCUUGGAGGAAGGACCACAGAGAAGAAGCAAAGACUCUGAGGAGAAUUCGAAGGGCUCCAGGAAGAGAGUGAGGCGGCUGCCCCAGAUUUGUCUGACACAUCGCGGUCACGUGGACUCCAUUAGCGGAUGACUGAGGCCGUGAGCAGGCAGCCUAAAGGAAUGUUGUAGAAACGAUGAGAG